CCUACGGGUGGCUGCAGUGGGGAAUAUUGGACAAUGGGGGGAACCCUGAUCCAGCCAUGCCGCGUGUGUGAAGAAGGCCCUCGGGUUGUAAAGCACUUUCAGUGAGGAAGAACGCCUGGUGGUUAAUACCCAUCAGGAAAGACAUCACUCACAGAAGAAGCACCGGCUAACUCCGUGCCAGCAGCCGCGGUAAUACGGAGGGUGCGAGCGUUAAUCGGAAUUACUGGGCGUAAAGCGCGCGUAGGUGGCUUGAUAAGCCGGUUGUGAAAGCCCCGGGCUCAACCUGGGAACGGCAUCCGGAACUGUCAAGCUAGAGUGCAGGAGAGGAAGGUAGAAUUCCCGGUGUAGCGGUGAAAUGCGUAGAGAUCGGGAGGAAUACCAGUGGCGAAGGCGGCCUUCUGGACUGACACUGACCCUGAGGUGCGAAAGCGUGGGUAGCAAACAGGAUUAGAUACCCGAGUAGUC
rnacentral:rRNA from 1 species